UUCUCACUGUCUUUAUCUGUUUAAUGCAAUUGCCAAAUGAUUUUGACAAUGUUUUUUGUUGGUUUUUUAAAUCAUUCAAUAUCAUCGAAACAUUUCAUGUGCUGUUGAUGAUUUACCAUCAACCAUGACAGUAAAUUUGAUUCUUGGCAAAUUAUCAUCAUCUUAAGUGAAUACAUCUGAUGCAUGUGUUCAGGUGUAAGCAAGUGAAAACGAUAUGUGAUACACAUUGAAAUUAAAGUGUCUCAACUUUUUGCUAGUAUUGAAUGAUGGAUUUAUAAAAAUAUUUAGCAAACCCGAUCAAUCUAGUCACCUAAAUAUCGUAUUUCAAAGUUGUGAUUAAAUUAACACUUAAUGUGAAGAUGAACUAGCCUUAAUUGAUAAUUUUGUUUUACUUUUUCCUCAUCAUUGAAACCAGAUGAUCCAAAUUCAUCGUUCUCAUGCAAUAGCAUUGCAACAAUUAACAUUAAACUUUAAUUGAUAUUGCCGAUACUAAAAUAAAAGAAUUGACCUUAAACCAUAACUUUAAGCCUUAAGUUUAAAGCCAUGUAAGAAGAUGACCAGAAAUGAUGGCGCAUUAAUAUUACCUUGCUGUGCAUUGGUGAAGUUAACCAAGGAUCGUAUUUAUUAUUACUUGGUAAUUCAAGUAACUACAGUUUUAACCACAACAAACCAUUUGAUUGGAUAACUAACUCAAUGUUUCCUCUGCUGAUGAUCAUUUGAAUGGUGUGGAUGAAGAUGAUAAUAAAUAAAAUAACGAUAGAUCGGGUUUCAAGACCACCAGCUAUUGAUGAGACCUGAGGAGUAAACCUGAAUUUGAAGAUGGUUUAAUUGAGGCCAAGAUCAAGCCAAUAUCAACCUUUUUUCAAGCCUGAUUAACAAUUACUAUUAUACUCAACUGACCUUUUUAAACGAGUCCAUAUUGUUAAAACAUGUUACCCGUAAUUAUUACAAUCAAACCAUGUGUUUAGCUGUCAUUGAAAACCUUAAACAUCUCUAUUUGGCUACAUUCACCAACAUCAGGAUUAUUAUACUCUGGAUGGUUAAAAAUAACCAAUGGUUUUAAUAAUUGAUAGAUUAAUCUCCGUUUCUAUUAUUAAAUGGUUAAAUAUUGAAUUGUUCAAUUUCAUUUCGUUGGAAACGUUUCAAAUUGUUGCCAUUGAUGUUGAUCUGUUGAAAAAACCAAAAGCUUUUGCCUUUGCAAAUCAAACCCAAGAACCUUGAAAUUACUAUGUUUUCAUGUUGAUUCAUCAAUCCUUUACCCAAAGAUGUAUGCUUUUGAUGAACAAACAUAAAUUCAAUGACAAGUUCACAGUUUUAAA